GCCAUCUUUGUUGUCUCUGCAGUUUAUCUUCGACUCUGACGGUCCCUCGACAGUUAUGCCGAGCCCACCAAUUCCUGCCCCUCUGGAAAGUGUGGAAAGAAAGCAAAGCAAUACUAGUGGUUCAUACUAAGGUCCUACUGAAAAAAUUCAUU